AGUGAACGCUGGCGGUAGGCCUAACACAUGCAAGUCGAACGGCAGCACAGUAAGAGCUUGCUCUUACGGGUGGCGAGUGGCGGACGGGUGAGGAAUACAUCGGAAUCUACUUUUUCGUGGGGGAUAACGUAGGGAAACUUACGCUAAUACCGCAUACGACCUACGGGUGAAAGCAGGGGAUCUUCGGACCUUGCGCGAUUGAAUGAGCCGAUGUCGGAUUAGCUAGUUGGCGGGGUAAAGGCCCACCAAGGCGACGAUCCGUAGCUGGUCUGAGAGGAUGAACAGCCACCCUGGAACUGAGACACGGUCCAGACUCCUACGGGAGGCAGCAGUGGGGAAUAUUGGACAAUGGGCGCAAGCCUGAUCCAGCCAUACCGCGUGGGUGAAGAAGGCCUUCGGGUUGUAAAGCCCUUUUGUUGGGAAAGAAAAGCAGCAGGUUAAUACCCCGCUGUUCUGACGGUACCCAAAGAAUAAGCACCGGCUAACUUCGUG
rnacentral:rRNA from 1 species